UACAAAUGUAUAUGUAUGUAUGUAAUACAUACUAUGUAUGUAUGUAUAUAAAGAGGUGAUUUAAAUCGCUAUGCUUGCAUUUGUAUGUGUAAGUAAUUUAUGCACGCUGCAGCAAUAGGAACAGCAGCAGUGAAUCUGUACAUUGAAUACGUUGUGACGUGAACUCUACAACAUUGUCCAUUGCUAUCGUUUAGUGCUGACAUCCAGACAAUAGACUGUUGGAGCAAAGCGCUGAAAUUGACAAGCGUCCAGCGUACUCUUGUUUUUGUUUGCUUCUCAGCGUAUACACAUCAACCCGAUUGUAGUGACAUGUGGCUGAACGGACUUCGCAAUUCAAUGUAUCGAAACGUUAUUUCAAUCCGUUCAAUUCUUUCAAUCGUCGACCGGUUGUCACAGGACAGACUACGAAUGUCGGUGGAUAACAAGUUGACGUAGUUUGAUUGAUGGUGAUUUAACGAUAUGUUAAGCAAUCAAUAGCAGAUUUUGUCAACAACAUUACCGACGAAAGGAGGCCAGAUAAUAACCAGAACGUAGUAACAGCAAAGCCGACACAGAAACUGAAUACUGUUUUGCUCGCUGAUUGCUGGCUGUUACUUUGACAGUUGGUAACAAUAGGGACACCGAGGGUGAAAUAAAUUACUUGGUGUUUCGUGUGGAGAAUAUAUGUACAUAUGUAAUUUGCAUUGAUAAUUGGCGGUAAAAAUAAGAUUGUACAUGGAUAAGCAAUAAUAGGUAUAUUUGACUGGUAAUAAAAAUAAAUGCAGUAAGUUUGAUGUUUAGUGAAUGAAAUUAAUGCUAGCCAAAAUUGACUUUCUAAAUCUCUAUAUUUUACAAAUAUUUUAACAAUCUUUUAAUUAUAUUAUAGUUAUUAUACUCAUUGCAAUCAUGUUGCCCAGAGUAAAAUUGUUUUUGUUUGAAUGUAGGGAUUCACAAGUUGUCACAAAGCAUCGAAAAUAAGUUUACGCAAAUACAACUCUACAUUUUCAGUUCGUUAUAACUGGUCACCUAAUUUCUUUCAAUUUUCUAUUUUCGCGGUUUUUGGCUAAAUUGAGCAGUUCAAUAUUAUAUACAUAGGUAAAAUAAAUUGAAUAAUAAAUAAAAUAAGUUUAGAAAAGCAGGUGAGUUUCAACCCAACAAGAAAGUGGCUAUUGUAAGAGAAGAAAUCAUUGGUUAAUGGAAGAGAUAAAAAAGGAAUAUUGAAGUAUAUUUAUUAAAUAAAAUAUAUUUAAGCAGUAAUUUAUUAAAAUUUAAAUUAUGGAAUCCGCCGCCACAAAUUUAUUAUAGACGAAUUGCAAAAGAGAACAACAUUGCCGUCGACUGGAAGGUGACACGAUCGAAGGUUCGGCAUAUGCGUAUAACAUAUAGCAAAGCUUAAACGUGGGGAUCGAGCCCCCCACGUUACAGGGUCCAUACUCCAUAAAAUGUAAGAUUCUAAUUUGCAAUUAAUACUACAAUUACAUUAAUUAUGCAUGAGUAUAGAAGUAAAGCAAAUAUAAAGUAUUGAAACCAAUUGCGAAUUUUUGCAAAUGUUUGAAACCAUAAAAUGGUGAGGAAAGAAAUUCUGAAUUUUUUUAUUUAAAUGUUAUUCCUUUUUCUGCCAUUAUUUAAAAUAACUAUGCAUUCUUAAAUCUGGCACUUUACUUAAAAUGUGCACUUUUUAAUAAAUUUUAUUAUCAGAAAUGAACCUGAUGAGUCUACGGCUGUUAAUGAAAGUGAAAGUGUGACUUAGCUACGAACAAAGCGUGCUAUACGAGCACGAGCUGUACGGUCUCUACGUCUUUCCUCGUCGUCUUCUCGCCUAUAAAAAACCGGUUUGGACGUAGAAAAAUUUUAUUUAUCUGAGGAAUCCAUGACUUCUUUUUUCACUUUAAUAGACACAAAAAAAUUACAAAAUUAAGAAUCAAAUAUAUCGCAUUCAAUCUGCGGUACGUAAAAUCGAACAGCGCUGGUCGAAUUCACCUUUAAACUUUUUUACUUGCUCAUAUCAAAUAAUAUUUAAAUAAAAAAUACAUACAUAUGUAUGUCGAAUGUUUCCUAUGAUCUAAAGAUAGUUUAGACUCGUGUCUCUGAUACAUAUAUUUAAUACAUAAGAGUAGUAAUAAGCACACUUGUAUUACACACAUAAUUGAAGUAUUAGUAUGCCGACUGUCACCGGAAUGAAAGCAAGAGGAUUCAAAUUACAACCACACAAACCGAGUUUGCGGUUUCUACUUUUACUAACUCGUGUUUUUCUUUCAUCUAUACACCAGGGAAAAAUGGACAAAAUCUGAAGUUUGUUUAAUUAGAUUCGUUUAAAAGCUGAUGGAUAUUCUACACACGUGUCCGAUACUGGUGUCGUCGUUGCAGAAAAGUAAGACUAAGCGGUACACUCCUAGUCUGUAUUUGAUUAAGCUGUGUGCAUUAUAAAUUAAGAGGAAGUACAAUGGAAUAUGCCCCGUCGAGAAAAUUUCACAUUAGGAAGUCAUUGUGUAAUAGUUAGAUAUUUAUGUACAAACUAUUUACAUUUGAAUACUUGUAGUGUGGGCAAAUUUCAAAUUCGCAAUUAAUAAAUAUAUUUAUAAUUAAGAUA